UACGUAGGGCGCAAGCGUUAUCCGGAAUUAUUGGGCGUAAAGAGCUCGUAGGCGGUUUGUCGCGUCUGCCGUGAAAGUCCGGGGCUCAACUCCGGAUCUGCGGUGGGUACGGGCAGACUAGAGUGAUGUAGGGGAGACUGGAAUUCCUGGUGUAGCGGUGAAAUGCGCAGAUAUCAGGAGGAACACCGAUGCGAAGGCAGGUCUCUGGGCAUUUAACUGACGUGAGGAGCGAAAAGCAUGGGGGAGCGAACAGG
rnacentral:rRNA from 1 species